UCCAUUCCCGCCACCGCCGCCAUUUUUCAGAAGGCCAUUUUUUCCCAUGAUGCCCUUUAUGAGGCCUCCUCCUCCACCAAUUUUCGUUAUUAGGCAAGGUUAACAACGUGCGCCUGAUUUGAAUCAUUCGAAUGAGUGAAGGGAUUGGUUCAUUUUCUGACGUACUUCCGGUGUAUAUUUCAUCAGACUUGCGUCCUGUGUCGACCGUUUUGAUUGGUGGAGAUUUAUCUUAAGAAUAUUUUUAAUUUUUCGUUUUCUUUGACAGAAGGCUAAGAUUAACUUUACAUGUAGUCCAGUUAUUUUGGGCUUCCUUGUGU